UACGUAGGAGGCAAGCGUUGUCCGGAAUUACUGGGCGUAAAGCGCGUGUAGGUGGUGGGACAAGUCUGCUGUGAAAGCGCCUGGCUUAACCGGGCGAGGUCGGCGGAAACUAUCGCACUCGAGGACGGUAGAGGGGGGUGGAAUUCCCGGUGUAGUGGUGAAAUGCGUAGAGAUCAGGAGGAACACCGAUGGCGAAGGCAGGUCUCUGGGCCACUACUGACGCUGAGAAGCGAAAGCAUGGGGAGCGAACAGG
rnacentral:rRNA from 1 species